rnacentral:ncRNA from 15 species
AAUGAGAUGUUUGGUCGCUUUUCAUUAUAAGUCAUAUGGGACUUUUUUUGUAUAGCAAAAAAAGCGCCAUAAUUUCCGCAGUGGAGUUACCCACUACAGAUAUUAUAGAGCC